ACACACAAAAUAAAUAAAACUCUCACACAGCGCUCACUAACAAUACAAAAUUGUUAGUGAGCGCUGUGUGAGAGUUUUAUUCUUUUUGUGUG
rnacentral:pre_miRNA from 1 species